rnacentral:rRNA from 1 species
AGCAGCCGCGGUAAUUCCAGCUCCAAUAGCGUAUAUUAAAGUUGUUGCAGUUAAAAAGCUCGUAGUUGAAUUUCGGGGUUCAUCCGUUGGUCGGGCUUUUUGGUCUGUACUGGCGUGAUGGAUUCCUACCUUCUGAAUAACCGGCAUGUCAUUAAUUUGGUGCGCCGGGGAAGCAGGACUGUUACCUUGAAAAAUUAGAGUGCUUAAAGCAGGCUAUCGCCUGAAUACAUUAGCAUGGAAUAAUGAAAUAGGACGGCAUGGUUCUAUUUUGUUGGUUUCUAGGAUCACCGUAAUGAUUAAUAGGGAUAGUUGGGGGCAUUAGUAUUCAAUUGUCAGAGGUGAAAUUCUUGGAUUUAUUGAAGACUAACUUCUGCGAAAGCAUUUGCCAAGGAUGUUUUCAUUAAUCAAGAACGAAAGUUAGGGGAUCGAAGACGAUCAGAUACCGUCGUAGUCUUAACCAUAAACUAUGCCGACUAGGGAUCGGACGAUGUUAAUUUUUUAAUGACUCAUUCGGCGCCUU